rnacentral:lncRNA from 1 species
GGCCUGGGGGCGAGGAACAAGACCUCGGAGUAUUUCAAGGGGAGACCUAUUCCCUGCCCUGCCCCGGGCCCAGGGCGCCGCGGUCUGAACUCUGCUCGGCUGGAGGACUCGUGCUUAACUCCUGUCCCUGCAAGUGUUACUGCCACCACCAGCCACGCCAUCGCCGCCUGCCACGCAACGUCUCUGCCUGCUGAGCACAUCCACCAACCACCUGGGCGAGCCACCCUGGGUUGCCACCAUCAAGCUGUCCGGCUCUCUGGUGGCCAAGCUGGAGCACUACGACUUGCAGGCCACCCAUUCCAACUGAGUGUAGUCGGCUCAACACCCUCCACCUUCCCCUCCAUGCCAAUAAAAUAACCAAUCCA